UCCUUUAUGUCUAAGUUGUUAGAGCAUGGCACUUGUAAUGCCAGGUUUGUGGGUUCGAUUCCUGCUGGGAC
rnacentral:tRNA from 1 species